GGCUGGACCCGUGAGCCAUGGCCGCUGAGCCUGCGCGUCCGGAGCCUGUGCUCCGCAACGGGAGAGGCCACAAGAGUGAGAGGCCCGCGUACUGCAAAAAAAAAAAAAAAAGAAAAAAAAUUACAAACCAGCUAGAAACUAUUCUGGCAGUGUUUACAAAUUACUUGCUAUCUUUAUACAAAAUUGCUAGAUAAUGAAAAUGAGUAGCCUGCGUAUCACCCUAAAUAAAACGAUCACUCCACACAAAUCUGUACAUAUAAACACACACCUAUCAUGUGUUGCUCUUUAUACAGUUUACUUUCUAGGGCUCACUCAGUCAUAACCUCCCUGUAUUUCUACCUACUACCUCUGGGGCUGCCUCUCAGCCCCACACUGAGGACAGCUUUCCUCAGGGAAUACUCAGACUCCCCACACACCUUCCCACCUCUUAGACAAUGAACACAACCAGACUCAGUAUUCCAGAUGUGCCCUGACCAGCUCAAGGCACAAUGUGGCCAUCACACCUCCCCUGAUAAAUACACUAUACUUCUAAUAAUGCAACCUAAAAGUAUUUUAGGUUUCUUGGUUAACAAAAUCCAUAUACUGGUAGGCAAGACAGGAGCAUAGUUAAGUGCAAGGACUCUGAAGUCAUCAGCUUGGGUUCAAAUCCUAGCUCUGCCAUUUCCUGGCUGUAUGACCUUGGGCAAGUAGCUUAACCCCUCUGGGACUCUCUUCUUCAGCAGUGAAAUCAGCAUUUACUUAUUGGUAUAAAAUAUGGACUCUAAUACUCCCCUCGGAAGGGAUGCUGAGAAGAUGAGGUGGAAUACAGUACCUAGGGCACCUAGUAGAGUACCUGGCACAUGAUAAUCACGAGGUUAAUAUGAGCCAUUGUUAUUGUUUUCAUGCUACAUGGUUCAGAAGAAUAUGCAUGGGCUUUGGGUUUAAUUGUCUGAUCCAGCACUUGGCUGGUGGCCUGUGGGUAAGCAACUGUCCUCCAGGCCCCGAUCACUCACCAUGAGAACAGGGGUACUAAUACCUGCUUUGCGAUGUUGUCGCAGGGAUCAGAGGUAGAUUGAGAAGCCCCUGGCACCUGGAUACUUGAUAACUUCAGUUAUUACCAUUUGCUCAGGUUGAGUUUAUCAGCCAAAGUCAGGUCCAUCUGCACUCAGACAACUAACUUUUUGAACCUAGGACUUUCCAUCAGUCAUGGUAAGCACCCAAGACAAAAUCACGGAAUGACAUUACUGACUAAAGACCAGGAAGGAGAAGCUACAAAUGGUGAUUAGAGAUGAAAGAAGGUAAAGAAGGAGAAACAGUGGGCGAAGAGAGAGAGAGGGGAAGGGGUAGGAAAGAGAUCCUUUUGUCCUUUGUUGAAAUAUCACAGGAGUUAGGAGAGGAGGUACAGGAGACGCUGGGAAACAGCUAAAAAUGGAAUCUCUGGGGCCAGUGCCCAGCCCAAGUAUGUCUUCUCUCCCAUCCCCUCUACCCCUCGGGGUCAGGAGCAGCUGCAGGCCACCAGCAAGCUCCAAAAUAACCAUCCCAUCAGUGUGCCCGGCUGCGCGGGGCCCUGAAAUAGAUGAAACCUGAGAUGGAGGAACUGGUCAGAGCACCCUCCACAGAGGGGACGGCAAAGGUCACAUCACCUUGAUAUUUGCACAUCCGCAGCGCUGGAUAAUCUUUAACCACGGGUCAGCCUGCAGCCGCCCAGCCGCCUGGCAGAUCUCUGCCGGCCCCUGUUUGGAAGACGCGCCAACCCAUUUACUGUGUCCACAAACAUCCUCCUGCCGGUCCGCAGCUGGCACGGAGCAGGCGAAGGAGCCAGGAGGACGGGUACGUGGCUUGGAUGGGCGAGGGGUUUCUCCACCCUUCUGGGCAGUGCCCUGACCCCACACCACCUCCACACUCUCCAUGUAAACCCAACCACGGGAAAGCCAGGAGAAACACACACACUUUCUGAGGCUCGCGGAGGGAAGGGCAGAAUGUCCCAGAAUCACUCAGAGUCAUAGACUCUUCGGUUUAUAGAAUCUUCAAGCCACAGGAUCUUAGAUGUAUAGAUUCUCAGAAUCAUCUGGUCUGGUGGUUCUCAAACUUUUUUUCAAGCAGUGGAAUCAUUCAUCCAAUGGAACGGAAAACUCUGCUUAAAGUCUAAGAGGCGGCCACAGAGCCCUGCCACUCAGCUGCCUCAGAGAUGCCUCUGUGGAAUCCCAGUGCUCCAAGGAACCCAGCUGGAGAACCACAGAUCUUGUUCCAAGAAACAGUUUAGAUCGCAGGGUUUGACUUUCAUCCAGACACAGGGACUUGGUUUUAAGGCUCCCUCUUCCAAAGCGCGGACUGGCAGGGGAUUGUCUGUUUUGGUGGUGUUUCUAGAUAUUCCUUUUUAACCGAAAAAGACAGCCCUUCCCGUUUGUAAAAACACUUUUACAUAUGUGAGCCUCACAGAAUAUCUGUGAGGUACAUGGUGCAUGUAUAAUUAUGUCCAAAUAACAGACAAGGCGGUUGAGGCAUAGAGAUGCUGAGAGACUUGCCCAAAGCUAGGGAAUGGCCAAGUGGAGUCGAUUCAGUCAGGUCUCCUGCUUCUGAAAUGACGGCUUUGUCCCCAAUACUGCAAGGCCCCAGCUCCUCCCCUACACACACCCCACUCUGGGCCACCAGGUCUCUCCAAGGUCCCCAGCACUAUAUCUUGGCCCAAAGAGAUACUAGAUGGAAACACAUAAAAUUGCCAUUUCUGGACACUACAAACAGUCAAAUAUUGGCAAUUAUAUAUGGUUGCACUUUAUAUAUAUUCAUUCUGGUAGAAAACUAGAGCACACUGUGAACAACAGAAUCAAACAAAGCCCUCAAGAGCCUUCAGGGAACUACAAGGCAGGCAGACCUACCCUCACCACUGAAACAGGACGCUAGGCACCCACUGCCCCUCUUCGACUCUGCCAGGGCCCUGGUGGCCUAUCUGUGCCCAACACAUAUGGCUGAUCCCUGAUGCCUGGAGCUCUCACAAGCUCUAUUCUGGAAGACAUAAGGGGGCCAAAAUCCCCACCCUUGGCGGGGUAUCUAGACAUAAUAGGGAGACCAGAGAGACUCAUAUUUAGAGAAGCUGGGAAUUAAUGUAGCCCACACUUCUGGGCUCAAGUCACAGCUCCACCGAGCUGUGUGACCAUGGACACGUUAUCAGACCUCUCUGAGCCUCUGUUUCCUUAUCUGCAAAAUAGGUACACUAAUAACUUUCUUUAUAAUAUAGACAAAGAGGAUUUCUACUGUAUUCUUAAAGAGGACAGUACAUGAUGCAGAACUGCUGAUACUGCUUAGACCUCCACUCGCUUCAGGAAGAGGAAGGGUCACGAAGAAUACAGUAAGUCAGGGAAGGCUCCCUGGUGGAGGGGAGGGUUUGGUACUGGGCCUUGAUAUAACUGGCAGAAUUUGAGGCGAGCAAAAAAGAAGCACCUGGAAGAGUCUCCGAAGCAGAAAGAACAGCAAGAUUUUUUUUUUUUUUUAACUAAGAAGAAAUGAAAACCAUCAAAAAGGAAGAAAUCACUAUCAGCAUCCUCAGCUCUUUCUCCAUCCCAAGAGCUUGGCUCGGGCUCCUUAAGCCAAUAUUUGCCUCUCAGCCCCUGGCAGCCACAACUGAAGGAAGUCCUUCUGGAUUGCUCCCCAGCUGCACCCUCCCCCCCCCAGUUUUAUUCUUCAGCCACACUUUUUUGUAGUAUUGGAUUUAGGUCACCUCAGAGCAGUCAUAUGGCAUGUCCCCCAAUAUAAACACUCUUUAAGGAGAGGGGCUGGGUUUCCAAUUCAAGUGUCUCCUCCGACCCCUGCACAGCGCCUAGGCUGUGGUGGGCACAGCGGGGUGCGCAGGAACACCCUACAGAUGGAUUCCUGGCUCACCAGCUUUCUGCCAGGAUCCACAGCUGCUCUUCCUGAACCAACACUUCUGAGAGGAGGAGGGAGACCUUGAAAACUGGGAUAGGAACUUAUCUCUCCAAGUAUUAAUCACCCCAUAAAACUUGUAUUUAUUUAGUUGCUGGCAGGUCCUUCUUCCUGGAGGUAGGAAGCUGUUAUUCUUGGAGAUACCAGCCUGGGCUUGGGCCAGGGUGCCCGGAGGGAAGAGGGUGAUCUGCUGUGAACCCCAGCGUAACAGGGAGCCUGGAAGGUCUGAAGCAGGUCUGCUGGGGCCAUGGCACGGGCAUCAGGGGGCCCAGGUGAUGGUUAGGGCAGUGGGGGGGGCGGGGAUGGGGACCCCACCUGGAGGUGUCAAUCAGGGAGAGACACCAGCCCUUACCUCCACUCUGUGGCGGAAAGAUGGCCAAUGUGUCCAUGGCCUGACUUGUGGGCCUACUAUGUGCCAGGGAGCCCAGGAUGUCUCUGGGCUGAGGAGCUUGGAGGGCUUUGGCCACAGGUUCCAGGUGGAGGCAAGAGGGGAGGGGGCAGGCCUCUGGCAGGUAAUCUCUAAAGAUGAGCCACAGUUUUGGGGGACAAUCACCCCAGGAAAGACAGGCCCAUCCUCAGAGCCCCCAAGACAGAGAGUGACUUCUUCAGAGGAGAAACUCAGCUGAGGAGGAAGACGAGGGAAAGCAGAGGAGCCGGCGGGAUCUGGUUGGAGGGAGAGAGAGGCCCAGAAAGACACAGGUGCAGUGACGUGGCAGUCUUUUUUCUUUUUAACUAUCUUUUUUACUCAAAUAAAAGUGUUUUGAGGGACUUUCCUGGUGGUCCAGUGGUAAAGAAUCCGCCUUACAAUGCAGGGGAUGCGGAUUCAAUCCCUGGUCAGGGAACUAAGAGCCCACAUGCCGCGGGGCAGCUAAGCCUGCGCACCACAACUGCUGAGCCUGCGUACUGCAGAUUACAGAGCUCACGAGCUCUGGAACCCGAGUGCCACAACUACAGAGCCCACCCGCCCUGGAGCCUGUGCACCACAGCUAGAGAAGACAAAACCCGCUACCACAACUAGAGAGAAGCCCACACGCCACAAUGAAAGAUCCUGCAUGCCUCAGUGACGAUCCCACAUGCCACAACUAAGACCUGACGCAGCCAAAAAAAAGUCCUCAGAAGUGAAGUUACUCACCAAGGUCACCCAGCCAGAGUAAAGAGCCCAGAUGUGAACCCAGGCCUGCUGCCUCCAAACCCAACUCUGAGACCCCAUUUUUCUCAUCUGUAAAAUAGGGACCAUGGCAGACCUUCCUGGUAUUCUUGCAAGGAUUAAAGAGAUGCUGUAUUUAAAACUAAUCUAGGGACAUGGGUUCGAUCCCUGGUCCAGGAAGAUCUCACAUGCCGCAGAGCAACGAAGCCCAUGCACCACAACUACUGAGCCUGAGCUCUAGAGCCCGCGAGCCACAACUACUGAGCCCACGUGCCACAACUACUGAAGCCCGCGCGCCUAGAGCCCGUGCCUUGCAACAAGAGAAGCCACCACAAUGAGAAGCCCGCACACUGCGACGAAGAGUAGCCCCAGCUCACCGCAACUAGAGAAAGCCUGUGCACAGCAAUGAAGACCCAACACAGACAAAAAUAAAUAAAUAAAAUUAAUUAAUUAAAAAAAAAAAAAAAAACCUUUGGCCUCUCUCUUGGUUACUUUCUCUUACCUCUCUCGGGUCGCUCCCUCUGGGGAAGUCAGCCAUGUAUGGUAGCCCUGCGGAGAGGCCCAUGUGCGAGGGACCGGGGACCACCAGUCACCAUGUGAGUAAGCCUGGAUGUGGCUCCGCCUCCAGGCAAGCCUUCAGCCCCAGCCAACAACUUGACUGUAACUUCACAAGGGACAUUAAGCUGGAGGCACCUAACUAAACCGUGUCAAGAUUCCUGACCCACAGAA